rnacentral:sRNA from 1 species
AUAAUCCAAACCAAAAUCCAUCCAA